UACGUAUGAUGCAAGCGUUAUCCGGAUUUACUGGGUGUAAAGGGAGCGCAGGCGGAAGGCUAAGUCUGAUGUGAAAGCCCGGGGCUCAACCCCGGUACUGCAUUGGAAACUGGUCAUCUAGAGUGUCGGAGGGGUAAGUGGAAUUCCUAGUGUAGCGGUGAAAUGCGUAGAUAUUAGGAGGAACACCAGUGGCGAAGGCGGCUUACUGGACGAUAACUGACGCUGAGGCUCGAAAGCGUGGGGAGCAAACAGG
rnacentral:rRNA from 1 species